rnacentral:rRNA from 1 species
GAUCAUGGCUCAGGAUGAACGCUAGCUACAGGCUUAACACAUGCAAGUCGAGGGGCAGCAUGGUCUUAGCUUGCUAAGGCCGAUGGCGACCGGCGCACGGGUGAGUAACGCGUAUCCAACCUGCCUUACACUCUUGGACAGCCUUCUGAAAGGGAGAUUAAUACAAGAUGUUAUCAUGAGUAAGCAUUUUCGCAUGAUUAAAGGUUUACCGUGUAGA